AUUGAACGCUAGCGGCAGGCUUAACACAUGCAAGUCGAGCGAGUGGCGGACGUGUGAGUAAUGUAUCGGAACGUUCCUAGUAGCGGGGGAUACCUACUGGAAACAGUGGCUAAUACCGCAUACAAUUAGAGUGGCCGCUAUCGGAUUAGCUAGUUGGUGGGGUAAAGGAUCACCAAGGCGACGAUCCAUAGCUGGUCUGAGAGGAUGACCAGGCACACUGGAACUGAGACACGGUCCAGACUCCUACGGGAGGCAGCAGUGGGGAAUAUUGGACAAUGGGCGCAAGCCUGAUCCAGCCAUCCCGCGUGUGUGAAGAAGGCCUUCGGGUUGUAAAGUACUUUUAGUAGGGAGGCGUUACCUGCAGAAUAAGCACCGGCUAACUGCGUGCCAGCAGCCGCGGUAAUAC
rnacentral:rRNA from 1 species